UACGGAGGGAGCUAGCGUUGUUCGGAAUUACUGGGCGUAAAGCGUGCGCAGGCGGUUCGUUGUGUCGGUGGUGAAAGCCCCGGGCUUAACCUGGGAAUGGCCAUGGAAACUGGCGAACUGGAGUGUGGCAGAGGGGGGUGGAAUUCCGCGUGUAGCAGUGAAAUGCGUAGAGAUGCGGAGGAACACCGAUGGCGAAGGCAGCCCCCUGGGCUAGCACUGACGCUCAGGCACGAAAGCGUGGGGAGCAAACAGG
rnacentral:rRNA from 1 species